UGGGGAAUAUUGCACAAUGGGCGCAAGCCUGAUGCAGCCAUGCCGCGUGUAUGAAGAAGGCCUUCGGGUUGUAAAGUACUUUCAGCGGGGAGGAAGGCGUUGUGGUUAAUAACCGCAACGAUUGACGUUACUCGCAGAAGAAGCACCGGCUAACUCCGUGCCAGCAGCCGCGGUAAUACGGAGGGUGCAAGCGUUAAUCGGAAUUACUGGGCGUAAAGCGCACGCAGGCGGUCUGUCAACUCGGAUGUGAAAUCCCCGGGCUCAACCUGGGAACUGCAUCCGAAACUGGCAGGCUAGAGUCUUGUAGAGGGGGGUAGAAUUCCAGGUGUAGCGGUGAAAUGCGUAGAGAUCUGGAGGAAUACCGGUGGCGAAGGCGGCCCCCUGGACAAAGACUGACGCUCAGGUGCGAAAGCGUGGGGAGCAAACA
rnacentral:rRNA from 1 species